ACUUCGCUUUAUGGUGCUUUGCAGAUAUUGCAUUUUUUAUAAAUUAAAGGUUUCUGUCAACCCUGUGUUGAGCAAGUCUGUUGGUGCCAUAUUUCCAGCAUCAUGUGCUCACUUUGUGGCUCUGUCUCAUUUUGGUAAUUCUCACAGGUUGUUACGUAAUUGAGGAAUCUAAGGUGUGCUAGUGGUAUGCUGUGUCCUUUCCCACUUUAUGUUUUUGUUUGACUUGUUGAAGAUCAGUUGGCUGUAACUAUUUGGGUUUAUUUCUGGGUUCUCCAUUCUGUUCCAUUGGUCUAUGUGCCUAUUUUUAUACCAGUACCAUGAUGUUUUGGUGCCUAUGGCCUUAUAGUAUAGUGUGAAGUCAGGUAACAUGAUGCCUCCAAAUGAUUUGUUCUUUUUGCUUAGUCUUGCUUUGGGUGUGUGGGCUCUCUUUUUGGUUUCAUAUACACUUUAGUAUUGUUUUUUCUAGUUCUGUGAAGAAUGAUGAUGGUAUUUUGAUAGGAAUUGCAUUGAAUUUGUAAACUGCUUUUGGCAGUAUGGUCAUUUUCACAAUAUUGAUUCCACUCAUCGAUGAGCAUGGGAUGUGUUUCCAUUUGUGUCAUCUAUGAUUUCUUUCAGCUGUGUUUUGUAGUUCUCUUUGUAGAGGCCUUUCACCUUUUUGGUUAGGUAUAUUCCUAAGUAUUUUUUGUAUUUUUUUUUUCUUGCAGCUAUUGUAAAAGGAGUUGAGUUCUUGAUUUGAUCCUCAGCUUGGUUGCUGUUGGUGUAUAGGAGAGCUACUGACUUGUGUACAUUAAUUUUGUGUACAGAAACUUUGCUGAAUUCUUUCAUCAGUUCCAGGAGCUUUGUGGAGGAGUCCUUAGGGUUUUCUAGAUAUACAAUCAUAUCAUCAGUAAACAGUGAAAGUUUGACUUCCUCUUUACCAAUUUGGUUUCCCUUUAUUUCUUU
rnacentral:lncRNA from 1 species